GAUGAACGCUGGCGGCGUGCCUAAUACAUGCAAGUCGAGCGAACAGACGAGGAGCUUGCUCCUUUGACGUUAGCGGCGGACGGGUGAGUAACACGUGGAUAACCUACCUAUAAGACUGGGAUAACUUCGGGAAACCGGAGCUAAUACCGGAUAACAUGUUGAACCGCAUGGUUCAACAGUGAAAGACGGUCUUGCUGUCACUUAUAGAUGGAUCCGCGCCGCAUUAGCUAGUUGGUAAGGUAACGGCUUACCAAGGCAACGAUGCGUAGCCGACCUGAGAGGGUGAGCGGCCACACUGGAACUGAGACACGGUCCAGACUCCUACGGGAGGCAGCAGUAGGGAAUCUUCCGCAAAGGGCGAAAGCCUGACGGAGCAACGCCGCGUGAGUGAAGAAGGUCUUCGGAUCGUAAAACUCUGUUAUUAGGGAAGAACAAAUGUGUAAGUAACUAUGCACGUCUUGACGGUACCUAAUCAGAAAGCCACGGCUAACUACGUG
rnacentral:rRNA from 1 species